GACGAACGCUGGCGGCGUGCCUAAUACAUGCAAGUCGAGCGAGCGGAACCAACAGAUUUACUUCGGUAAUGACGUUGGGAAAGCGAGCGGCGGAUGGGUGAGUAACACGUGGGGAACCUGCCCCUAAGUCUGGGAUACCAUUUGGAAACAGGUGCUAAUACCGGAUAAUAAAGCAGAUCGCAUGAUCAGCUUUUGAAAGGCGGCGUAAGCUGUCGCUAAGGGAUGGCCCCGCGGUGCAUUAGCUAGUUGGUAAGGUAACGGCUUACCAAGGCGACGAUGCAUAGCCGAGUUGAGAGACUGAUCGGCCACAUUGGGACUGAGACACGGCCCAAACUCCUACGGGAGGCAGCAGUAGGGAAUCUUCCACAAUGGACGCAAGUCUGAUGGAGCAACGCCGCGUGAGUGAAGAAGGUUUUCGGAUCGUAAAGCUCUGUUGUUGGUGAAGAAGGAUAGAGGUAGUAACUGACCUUUAUUUGACGGUAAUCAACCAGAAAGUCACGGCUAACUAC
rnacentral:rRNA from 1 species